rnacentral:misc_RNA from 1 species
UCGUAACAAGGUCUCCGUUGGUGAACCAGCGGAGGGAUCAUUGCUGGAACGCGCCCCAGGCGCACCCAGAAACCCUUUGUGAACUUAUACCUUACUGUUGCCUCGGCGCUGGCCGGUCCUUCGGGGCCCCUCACCCUCGGGUGUUGAGACAGCCCGCCGGCGGCCAACCUAACUCUUGUUUUUACACUGAAACUCUGAGAAUAAAACAUAAAUGAAUCAAAACUUUCAACAACGGAUCUCUUGGUUCUGGCAUCGAUGAAGAACGCAGCGAAAUGCGAUAAGUAAUGUGAAUUGCAGAAUUCAGUGAAUCAUCGAAUCUUUGAACGCACAUUGCGCCCUCUGGUAUUCCGGAGGGCAUGCCUGUUCGAGCGUCAUUUCAACCCUCAAGCCUGGCUUGGUGAUGGGGCACUGCUUUUACCCAAAAGCAGGCCCUGAAAUUCAGUGGCGAGCUCGCCAGGACCCCGAGCGCAGUAGUUAAACCCUCGCUUUGGAAGGCCCUGGCGGUGCCCUGCCGUUAAACCCCCAACUUCUGAAAAUUUGACCUCGGAUCAGGUAGGAAUACCCGCUGAACUUAAGCAUAUCAUA